rnacentral:rRNA from 1 species
AUACGGAGGGUGCAAGCGUUACUCGGAAUUACUGGGCGUAAAGCGUACGUAGGCGGUCCGUUAAGUUAGAUGUGAAAGCCCCGGGCUUAACCUGGGAACUGCAUUUAAAACUGGCGGACUUGAGUUGAGUAGAGGGGAGUGGAAUUUCAGGUGUAGCGGUGAAAUGCGUAGAGAUCUGAAGGAACACCAGUGGCGAAGGCGACUCCCUGGACUCGAACUGACGCUGAGGUACGAAAGCGUGGGUAGCAAACGGGAUUAGAAACCCGAGUAGUCC